rnacentral:tRNA from 1 species
GGAGGUGUAGCUCAGUGGUAGAGUACGCGUUUAGCAUUCUGGUAGGCCUUGGGUUCAAUCCUCAGUACCACCA